GAACCGCUCCGGUGGCUUAGUGGUUAGAGCGUCCCCCUCGGAUACGGGAAGUCGUGGGUUCUAUCCCCGCUCGAUUCA